UACAGAGGGUGCAAGCGUUGUUCGGAAUUAUUGGGCGUAAAGCGCGUGUAGGCGGCUUUGCAAGUCGGGUGUGAAAGCCCUCGGCUCAACCGAGGAAGUGCGCCCGAAACUGCAGAGCUUGAGUACCGGAGAGGAUGGCGGAAUUCCCCAAGUAGAGGUGAAAUUCGUAGAUAUGGGGAGGAACACCGGUGGCGAAGGCGGCCAUCUGGACGGAUACUGACGCUGAGACGCGAAAGCAUGGGGAGCGAACAGG
rnacentral:rRNA from 1 species